AGCUGCUUCAUUUAGAAAAUGAUCCCCAGUCACAAACAGUGAGUUACCAACACCUGUUGGCAGUACCAGAAGAAAACUAAGGAUCUGUUCUUCAGUCCAUCUUGGAUGCAAUGGGGAUAGGAGUUUCAACUUUAUUUGUGGAAGGACAGCAUUUAAAAUGUUCAAUAUCAAUUCCUAUGCUGACAUCCCCCCUCCUGCAACCCCAGGCUUUGGUAAUUAUUAGUGAAGCCAUCUGCUCAGCCUAAUGAAAUGUGCAAUCUCCUGCACAUAUAAUUAGUGAAGUCACUUUAAUUAAUUAAACAAAUUAAUUAAUUGCAAGGAUACUGCAACCAUUUCCUAGGAACUGCAUCCAACUCAUUUAUUCUCCAUGUGUCUACCGGGCUCCUACUGAGGGCAGAGUCCCACACUCGUGCUCAGAGGAGAUAAAGAUGCACCAAGUAGAAACGGAAGCCAAAUGACAUGGUUGCUGAUGACUAUCCCUUCCGCUUCAGGCCCAGUUUCUCCAUCUGUUACCCACAUGAUGUGGUUUCGAGUUGGGAGUGCUGUCCCAAUCCUCUAACACCCCGUUGAAGCCCCUCCUGUGGUACAGUACCCAGGUAUGCCCCUCAUGCCCGGUGUCCACACCCCUGCUGGAUUCUCCACUCUGUUACAGCAUCUGGCAGCUUCACCACGCACUGACUCCCACCAGCUCCCUGACGCCGUUUCCGAACGUGCUACUGUUGAGCCACAAUUCCAUCCCAUCUGCCACAGGACUUCCCAGGAGCUUACACUCCAUCUGGAGUCCUGGGAUAUGAGAAACCCCACCAGACGGUAAGAAAAUAUCCUAUAAAUGACCAACUGCCACUUUCCCUGUUAGAAACAACUUGCUCUGAAGGUUUGCUUAAAAAGUGAUUUCUUAAGAAUCCUGACAGCAUGUAGCCACAGAAACCAUAUUUAAAACGAUGGAUGGACUCUCAGACUCUCAGGUUCACAAAAGCCUUCUGAACUCACAAUGUACCUGCAGCAUAAAACCAAUAGAGCUAUUUUACCUACA